UUUCCCAUUUGACUCACAUUUUCUCCUAAUAAUAGAUUAUAGGGGCUAUGCUAUGGGGUAGAUUAAAAUUGCCCUGAUUUGAAGAGGGGAGAUGUUUUUGUGUCCUCCUCCUAUAUGAAAUGGCUGAACAGAAAAAA